rnacentral:rRNA from 1 species
GACGAACGCUGGCGGCGUGCUUAACACAUGCAAGUCGAACGGAAAGGCCUGCAGCUUGCUGCGGGUACUCGAGUGGCGAACGGGUGAGUAACACGUGGGUGAUCUGCCUUGCACUUCGGGAUAAGCUUGGGAAACUGGGUCUAAUACCGGAUAGGACAGCUGUUUAGUGUCAGUUGUGGAAAGUUUUUUCGGUGCAAGAUGAGCUCGCGGCCUAUCAGCUUGUUGGUGGGGUAAUGGCCUACCAAGGCGUCGACGGGUAGCCGGCCUCAGAGGGUGUACGGCCACAUUGGGACUGAGAUACGGCCCAGACUCCUACGGGAGGCAGCAGUGGGGAAUAUUGCACAAUGGGCGGAAGCCUGAUGCAGCGACGCCGCGUGGGGGAUGAAGGCCUUCGGGUUGUAAACUCCUUUCGACAGGGACGAAGCUUUUGUGACGGUACCUGUAUAAGAAGCACCGGCUAACUACGUG